GGCCUGCUAGUAUAACGGCAAUAUACUUGCUUUGGGAGUAAGUGACCCUGGUUCGACCCCAGGGCAGGCCC